GGCGAGCAGGACCCCGGCGCGGCCGCGGCCUUCGUCGGUCGCUCGGCAAACGCACGUGGGCCGGGGCUGGGGGAGCCGAGCCCUGUUUUGCCGCGUUCAGGGCCGUCGUGGGAGCGAACGCCGCCUCUCCCUUUGGGAUUUGCAGGCUCGGAGGAGCGUCGGGGAGAUCCCUUUGCAGGGCAGCAGCGAUGUUUGUGCCGGUCAACGCCGUGCUCGUCACCAGAGGAAAAGCAGGAGCCGCGACUUCUGCUGAAGCGCAAAGGUUUCGCCCCGGCGUGGGCCCGGGGGGCUUUGGCUGCCGAACCGGCCCCCGCGGCGGGCGCGCAGGGUGUUGCCAUUAGAAAAUAAACGCCCGGAGCUGUUAAAAAGCCCCUGCCUUGCCUUGGCUGUAACGCCCGGGGUGCGGGACCGUUGCAGCCUCCCAAGCCCCGCGCUGGGGAAGCUCGGGCAGCAGGGACGGGGAGCGCCCGGCCCCGUUUCGGUGCCUGGGGGAGAAACGGGGAGGAGGUCGCCGGUAUCUGAUGCAGACGAUGAGGAAGAGGAGGACGACGGCACCAUAAUUAUGGGGCCAGCCCCCUCCCGUGCAGGGGUGUCCCGGCCAUCGGCUGCCGCCUGCCCCGGGAGGUGCCAAGCGACCCCUGGGAAGCUGGAGCCGCCUGCCUGAGGACACCGCUGGCAGCCCACGAUAAUAAA